GCCGGGUGUGGUGGUGUGCACCUGUAAUCCCAGUUACUCCAGAGGCUGAGGCAGAAGAAUCGCUUGAACCCAGGAGGUGGAGGUUGCAGUGAGCCGAAAUCAUGCCACUGCACUCCAGUCUGGGUGACAGAGUGAGACUCUGUCUCAU
ensembl:misc_RNA Metazoa_SRP Metazoan signal recognition particle RNA